rnacentral:rRNA from 1 species
AACGAACGCUGGCGGCAGGCUUAACACAUGCAAGUCGAGCGCCCCGCAAGGGGAGCGGCAGACGGGUGAGUAACACGUGGGAACGUACCCUUUUCUACGGAAUAACGCAGGGAAACUUGUGCUAAUACCGUAUACGCCCUUUGGGGGAAAGAUUUAUCGGAGAAGGAUCGGCCCGCGUUGGAUUAGCUAGUUGGUGGGGUAAAGGCCUACCAAGGCGACGAUCCAUAGCUGGUCUGAGAGGAUGAUCAGCCACAUUGGGACUGAGACACGGCCCAAACUCCUACGGGAGGCAGCAGUGGGGAAUAUUGGACAAUGGGCGCAAGCCUGAUCCAGCCAUGCCGCGUGAAUGAUGAAGGCCUUAGGGUUGUAAAGUUCUUUCACCGGAGAAGAUAAUGACGGUAUCCGGAGAAGAAGCCCCGGCUAACUUCGUGCCAGCAGCCGCAGUAAGA